GACGAACGCUGGCGGCGUGCUUAACACAUGCAAGUCGAACGGAAAGGCCCUGCUUUUGUGGGGUGCUCGAGUGGCGAACGGGUGAGUAACACGUGAGUAACCUGCCCUUGACUUUGGGAUAACUUCAGGAAACUGGGGCUAAUACCGGAUAGGAGCUCCUGCUGCAUGGUGGGGGUUGGAAAGUUUCGGCGGUUGGGGAUGGACUCGCGGCUUAUCAGCUUGUUGGUGGGGUAGUGGCUUACCAAGGCUUUGACGGGUAGCCGGCCUGAGAGGGUGGCCGGCCACAUUGGGACUGGGAUACGGCCCAGACUCCUACGGGGGGCAGCAGUGGAGAAUAUUGCACAAUGGGCGGAAGCCUGAUGCGACAACGCCGCGUGCGGGAUGACGGCCUUCGGGUUGUAAACCGCUUUCGCCUGUGACGAAGCGUGAGUGACGGUAAUGGGUAAAGAAGCACCGGCUAACUACGUG
rnacentral:rRNA from 1 species